rnacentral:lncRNA from 1 species
CAGGUUCACACAACCCUCCCGGUUUGUGGAGCUUCUCAGACGCAUCUUGAAUCCCUACUGGCGCUGCUCACUCUGGCCCUCAGGAUCCUAGAGGAAAGUCUGAGGUCUCCAGAAAGCCUACAGGCUAACAAGGACGCACUGAGCGCUUCCCAACCGCCAAGAGAGCGAAGGAGCAGCAAGCCUGAGUUCAGGGGGCUCCUUGCUAAGUGAAGUGGCGUCAGGUGGGCCUACACAGUCUCCUUACCUCCGUAACUGUGACUCAUACCCCCGACUCCCGAGGAGUAAGAGACAGAAGAGACUACAAUGGCCACAGUCUACGGACACCCCCACUUCUUGCUGCUCUGUCCACUGAACUGGGGUCCUCUACGGUAACAACUCCUCCAUCCACCUCAUUGGAGCAAGAGAUCCACGGGACAGAACUACUGUUCAGCACAGCGUCUGUCCAAUAAAUAUUUACUGAAAUAAACACAGAAAGCU